rnacentral:rRNA from 1 species
AACGUAGGAAGCGAGCGUUAUCCGGAUUUACUGGGCGUAAAGCGCGUGUAGGCGGUUGUGUAAGUUGGAUGUGAAAGCUCCUGGCUUAACUGGGAGAGGUCGUUCAAUACUGCAUGACUAGAGGAUGAGAGAGGGAAGUGGAAUUCCGGGUGUAGUGGUGAAAUGCGUAGAUAUCCGGAGGAACACCAGUGGCGAAAGCGGCUUCCUGGCUCAUAACUGACGCUCAGACGCGAAAGCUAGGGGAGCGAACGGG